GGUCGACAGCGGAAAAGCAGGUGCUCGCGCAUUUGCGCUUAAAGCACACUGCUUCAAGGGGGAAUCGUGACAAUAUCAUAUCAUUUUGUAUUAACACUUUAUUUAUGGCCCUAAUACUCAAAUUUUCUUUAGGAGUAGGCAUAACUACUGGGGUAUGGAAGUACUUUGCUUUCUUUUGUUUUCAGUCACACACUCUCUGCUUGGUCCAUUUUUCUUCAGAGUCCUCCAAACUGUGUUUUUUUUCACAUUGAAACCUUUCUGUAAAAUUCUGUCAGGUCAUUGUCACCACGCAUAAUCCCUGACCAGAGUGGAAAAAUUGGUAAGUAGUCUUUCAUCAGAGCAUCCAAUAUCCCUGAACAAUGAUAUUUGUUUUUGUUUGUUUCUGUUUCCUCCUCAGGAUCUUCAGUAGACAUGUACACUUGAAAACUCUUUGGUAAAUGGUGACCUAGCCAAUAUUGUGUUAGCCUCUGGAGGGAUGGAGUAUCCACUGUCUGCUUCUGGAAUUUUUAUCCAACGAAUGUGGUCAUGAAGUUCUUGAAGACACUGAUUUACACAUUCUGUCUUUGCUUUUGGGUAAAAGAUAUGGCACAUGCUCUUGAAAAUGUCUAAAGCCUUCUUCAGACUUGUGGUGUUUAUUAGCUGUGCCACACAGUGAGUGGAAAACUCUUUCAAGCCCUUGCCAAUUGCUCCUUGGACUGCUUUGAUUAUAUGUGCAGAACAAAGGUGAAGGACACUUAGUCACCUAAGGUUUGUCAUGGUGACAUUUCCUUUAACUAAAUUGUAGCUUUCCAUUAGGUAGGUAUGUAUAGCUUGUUUACUGAAUGACAACAGGGCAUUGUGGAUGAGUGCCCAUCUAUAGUCGGUCUCAACCUGGUAUAUGUUGUAGACAGUGAGUUUCCGUAUCUUUAUUAUGGUCCGAUGCAACCAAAAAGAAACAUUUGGAAUUGUGUGGUCAUUUGUUAUCAUUUCAGACACAGGUAGAGGAGGCGUGUCUUGGCCAUGUCCUGGUAGAUUGAUGCUGUAGUACAGCACUCUGUUUGGCUGAUUUGGAAUUCAACUCACAACCCCACCAGUAGCAUCCAAAUGCAGGGUAGCAGGAUGUCCCUUUCUGAGAUUUUGUACCAGAAUGACAAGUCCUGUCCCAGUGUACAGAUAAACUCCAAAUGGAUCCACCUGAAGAUCUGUACAAUAGAUCCGUAUGUAUGAUAGAUCCGUGUCUUUUAUGAUUUUCUGAGUUAACAUCAGCUCCAGCAUCACAUCAUCGUGUAGUCUGCAGCUUUUAUUAAUUUCACAAGAAAUUACUUUGAGUAUGUUUUUAUUUAAACUUCUUAUGAUGUUUCCAGCUGUCAAAUCAGGAUCUGGUGUUUUUCUGAGAUUCUUGUAGUAUACAUUACUUAGUCCUUGUGACUCUUCUUUGGCAAUCUUGCCUCUCUUCUAGUGACUGUGAGUGACCUUUGAGUGCUGGUACGGAAACACCAAUGUACAGCAGAGAUUUCGUUAACGAAUUUUUCAUAUAUUAUGUGUGUCCAUAAUUUCUGUAAUUUUCUGCUACCCAGCAAAGGGUUUAACUUUUUCCAUUUUCAUGUGGAUGUGUAAAUUGUGUAAGACUUGGGUCCUGGCCUUGUGCUCCUAUAUGGCUUCAUUUGAUGACCCCAGGUGAGAGAUUCUCUGCAGACUUCUGUGCCUCGCCGCACUUGCAAUUACUGUCUGUCAGGACCUGAGGUGAGAGAUGGUCCGCAGACAUUGGUGGCAGGCCACGCUCUCCAUCACUGUCUGUCAGGACCCCAGAUGAGAGACGGUCAGCAGACUUCUGUGGCAGCCCGCGCUCUCCAUCACUGUCUGUCAGGACCUCAGGUGAGAAAUGGUCCACAGACUUCUGUGCCACCCCCGCUCUCCAUCACUGUCUGUCAGGACCUCAGGUGAGAGAUGGCCCACAGACUUCUGUGUCAUGCCACGCUCUCCAUCACUGUCUGUCAGGGCCUCAGGUGAGAGACGGUUAAUGCAAAAAUGUGAUUAAUUUUCCACCAGUAGGGGUAAAAAAGAGAGGCUGUGAAAGUUCCCCACUAUCCUCCUCUACCGAAUGACACUGAUCUCAUGCCUAUAUGCCCUUUAACAAAAAAGGCUAUUACAAAAACAGCACCCACAAAGUUAUAGCAAAAACGAAGAAAACUUGCCCUUCCCCCGCAGUCCUUUACUUACAGCCCUGCCAAGAGCGAGCCUUCCCGGCAUAACUCACAUUGCACGGAAUUUGCGGCCCAGUGCUCAUUAUAUCGAGAGAAAAUGAUGAAAAGGAAGCUUGUGAAACAUUAUUAGUAGAGAUGCACCGAUACUAAAUUUCUCAGCCAUUACCGAUAACCGAUUUAUUCAGAGUGAUAUUGGCUGAUACCAAUAGUUCUGCCUUUUAUGCCUUCUUUUAAAUUAGUAAUAAUUAAUUCCACAAUUCUGAAAAAAAAAUGCAAAUAAAAACUUUAUUCUCUCCAUUUCAACAAGUUGUUUCACAGUAACUGGUCUCAUAAACAGGAAACACAUUACUCAAAUUAACAUUAACACAUUAACUAAAUUCUGAAGAUAUAAGUAAGAUUUCUUAACUCAUUGAAUGUUAUUAAUUCAUAUUAACAUUGACUAAAAUUUAAAAAAAACUUCCUGUUAGUCUCACAUUCACUCACCACAAACAAAAGCAUUUCUACUUCAUCACAUCAAACUGCUAAUAUAUAAUAUCAACUUUUUUUUUGAUGAUAUUAACUCAUAUUAACAUUAACUGGAUAUGUAACACACUACUCCACAUAUAUAUUUUUUGUGCAAUAUAUACCUUUUUUGUCAACUCAUCUUCAUUUAAAUCUUUCAAUGGUGUAUUGGCGCUUUAAUUCAGUGCGAGCGGCUCGAGCAAUGCAGCAAAAAAAAAAUUAUAUUCGACGCUGAAACUCCCGCUUCACUGCUACAGCGUCCGGUGUAAAAUUUUAGCAGUGCAGAGAUUACAGUUUACACAGUACAGUUUUGUCAUCAUUCCACCCGAGAGACAUCUUCUUUACACAAAGCACAAAAUUGAUUUGUUUUCCCGCCCUCUUUUCAUUGACAGGAUAUAAUCGCCCCUGAUCAUCAGAUGUUUUUAAACUAUCGGCCGAUGGCCCAUAGCAUGAAAAAUUGCUUGUCAGUGGCCUGUCCUGAACUGGAAGCUGCUGGAACAUCAGUGUCACUGUCUACAAUCAAGCGAGUUUUACAUAGCUAUGGAGAAAGGCUGCCGUCCAAGAAAGAAACCCCUGCUCCAAAAUCGACACCUUCAAGCCUGUGUAAAGUUUGUGGCUGACCAUAUGAACAAAGAAAAAGCCUUCUGGAGAAAAGUUUUAUGGUCAGAUGAGACAAAGAUUGAGUUGUUUGGCCACAAUGACCAGAGGUAUGUUUGGAGGAGUAAAGAACACUGUACCAAAUGUUAAGCAUGGUGGUGGUAACAUUAUGCUCUGGGCUGUUUUGCUGCCAGUGGAACUGGUGCAUUUCACAAAAUGGAUGGAAUAAUGAAUGAGGAGGACUACCUUAAAAUUAUUCAGCAUAAUCUCAAAUCAUCAACCAGAUGGUUGAAACUUGGACACAACUGGGUGUUCCAACAGACAAUGACCCCAAACACAAACACAAAGCUGGUUGUGGAAUUUAUAAAGCAGGCUAAGCUUUUGGAAUGGCCUUCCCAACGUCCUAAUCUCAACCUUAUCAAAAAUUUGUGGACUGUGCUUAAAAGUCGAGUCAGGGCCAGGAAGCCAACAAAUGUCGUUGAACUUUACCAAUUCUGCCAAGAACAGUCAUCAACUCUCCAACCAGAAUUCUACAAGAAGCUGGUGGAUGGCUACCAAAAGCAUCUGCUCAAGGUGAAACUCCCUAAGGGACAUUCAAUAAAUAUUAGGUGUGCUGUAUGUCAUGUAAUAUCAGACAAGGAACUCUGGACUACAGUUCCCAGCAUCCACUGCACUUCACUGCAUCACAGUCAUAUAACCACGUGCACCUGAAUCAUGUUAACGAGCACCUAUGUGUGUAUAUAGCCACAGUUUGCACUGCACUCCUUGUCUUAUGUUUGUCUUUCUUUGCCGUUGCCUUUGUUGCUGUGUUUAUGGUCUUUUGUUUAUGUUUGUUCUUAGCCUUAGUGUUUUGCCACAAGGUCAUAGUGUCUUUUUGUGUUUUUGUUUUGGUCUUUAUUAAAACUUAUUAUCUGCACUAGCA